rnacentral:rRNA from 1 species
AUUGAACGCUGGCGGCAUGCCUUACACAUGCAAGUCGAACGGCAGCACGGGAGCAAUCCUGGUGGCGAGUGGCGAACGGGUGAGUAAUAUAUCGGAACGUGCCCAGUCGUGGGGAUAACGUAGCGAAAGCUACGCUAAUACCGCAUACGAUCUAUGGAUGAAAGCGGGGGAUCGCAAGACCUCGCGCGAUUGGAGCGGCCGAUAUCAGAUUAGGUAGUUGGUGAGGUAAAGGCUCACCAAGCCGACGAUCUGUAGCUGGUCUGAGAGGACGACCAGCCACACUGGGACUGAGACACGGCCCAGACUCCUACGGGAGGCAGCAGUGGGGAAUUUUUGGACAAUGGGCGCAAGCCUGAUCCAGCAAUGCCGCGUGCAGGAUGAAGGCCUUCGGUUGGU